AAGGAUUCCAGUAAAAAAGGGGGCACUCUUCCUAACCUAAUGUGAUAAUUAUUUAAAUGAGAGUAGGAUAUGAUGUUGGUUUUAAUUUCUAUAAUAUUAGAAAUGCUGCAACAUUUAUUAAAGGAUCGUACAUUAAUAGUAAAUCCCAAUCAAUUCCCUUUGUGACAAACAGACAGCUUCACAUACUUAUCAAUGAAAAGAAACACACAAAAGCUAAAGAAAUUUCAUCAACUGCCUAUCAAAAUACUCAACCGUAAUACAAAACUGAAGAGUUGAAGAUAACUUCUAAAAAUAGAUAAAUAAAUUUACACUACAGAUGAACUAAGACAAGUUUGUUUCAACUCUUUUCUCUUAUGUUGCACAAUAUAUAAGACAAUCCAAUCUAUGGAAGCAAAGAAGUUCUCACUUAAACCAAGAAACUAUCAAUUUUUCCAACACUAAAAUCAAAAUGCAGCUGUGCCCUUCAAAUAAAUCGAUCCAUACCAAGACUGUAUGAUAUUCUCAUGUUACUAGAGACGAAAGAAAACGGUUUGCAUGUUGUUUCGAAAACUGCAUGCCUAAGCAUAACAACCCGUCUUAGUCAAGAGACUGAAUGAACACAAAAGAAGCGAAACUGACGUAUAAACAUAAAUUCCAUCUUACAAUAGAUAUCCAAAGAAACAAAAAACUAUGACGCUCCAUCCCCAUAACGAAAACAAAAUUGGACUAUUCUCUUUAAAGUGACAUACUCAAAAUCAUAACUAUUGCAUCCAUCAGUCUAGCCCAACCACAAAAUGGCAACAAGCUUAAGAGACAAGAGGGAAAAAAAGGAAAUCCAAAUUUACAUGAGAAAAGACACAGUAAAUAGAGAUAAAGGGGAAGUGGCGGGGCACUAAUAUAAACCUCAUCCUCUUUCUGACAAACUCAAAAUGAAUUUUAAUAGUAAAAACAAUCAUCGAGGAAUCAUGGGAUUUGCUAGUUUUUAUUAGAUGUAUCCUCGUUAUUCUUUGUCAUUUGAGAAGCCAAAGAAUUCAAAAGGAGGUCCUACUAAUGGCGCUACCAUCUCAGCCACAUCAAACUAAUGACGACAAACAAGACAACGUCAAAUACUAACCACGAACAUGACACCAUCAACCCGAACCUAUUAAACAAAAUCAUAGCACAAACCUUUAAACGACGAAACCAGUUUUAACAAGACACCAGUAGCCCAAAAAUAUUAAUCAAAAUCGAAGCAUGCAACUUUAACGAUGAAACCAGCCUUAACAAGAUAUCAGAAACUCAAAACAAAAUCAAAGACAUGAAAAUUUAAACGACGAAACCAGCCUUAACAAGAUACCAGCAACUCGAAACAAAAUUAAAAGAAUGAAACUUUAGCUACCAAACAAGCCUUAAUAAGAUACCAGCAACUUGAAACAAAAUUAAAAGCAUGAAACUUUAGCUACCAAGCCAGCCUUCAAAUCAUAAGUAGUACCUAAGAUGAGAUGUUAAGUCGAAGAUUAACCAACAAUAUCGAGAGUAAAUUACACAAUCAAUGUCGAGACACAGACAACAGAAAUUGCACAUCAGAUAACUCAAAAUAAGAAUUAAUCCAACGCCAUAAUAAUCUAACACUUUCUUCACAACUAUAGAAAAACCUAUGGCCUUUAAGGCCUCUACCAGCAAAUAACCCAGCACACAAGCAGUAUCAAAAACUAUCUACGACUAUAGAAUGGCGAGAUGAAGUAGAAUACGAUCGAAAUUUAAAUGGCGAUAGAAUGUUACCUAUUUAGGAGCAGCAAAAUGGGACUACGAGCUGAAAAUCAACAUUAUCAACUCAGGACCUCCAAUUAAUCGAUGAACUCUCCAAAGAAGAAAGAAAGAGAAAAAUUUAUAUUAAAAGGGACUAUUUUUGCUUUCAGAAUUUUCUUCCUCUUUUUUUUGAAACUUUUCUCUGCUUUAUCUUUUUUUUUUGAAAAAUUUUUCUCUCCUCCUCCCAAAGACCCUUCUUUAGCUCCAUGAAUGAGCUUUUUAUAGCAACAAAAAAGGAGAGUUCUCAAAACCUUUCCUUAAUGUCGAAACACAACCCUUUUGGGGGGUAAUUUUAGAAUUUUCCCUAAGGUAUUCAAAUUUCACAACUUAAGACCAAAUUUUCGCCCAACAAAUUGCACCAAUUGAACUAUUUUUGAACAAAUCAAAAACCAAAUUCAGCCAAUGAGAAUUAAGGGCAAGAAUAAUUCUCCAAGAACCAAUCAAAAUCUAACAAGUAUGUAUGAAUUCGUAUGAAUCAACCAUUGGAGUAGGAAAACUCGACAUAUUCUAGAAGAUUAGGUAUGAAAUUGCAUGUUUGUCACAUAACCCGUACGAUCAAAAGAAAAAGGGAUAAAUUUACAGGGAAAAAGAAAAUUAGGGUCGAUUCUUGGGUUUGAUGUGGAUUCGGGUCGAUGUUAUUAAGUUCGUCGAUGGUUUGUCACUGCUUUGUGAAGAGAAAAUGUUGAAGGUUAAUCAGUUCAGGUGGGUCAAAAUUAUUUGCAGUCGGGUCGCCGAUAUUGAUGGUGUUGGUUGGUCCAUGAAAUUAUUGUUGUGUUCUAUUGUUUGCUUUGAUAUUUGUUAACGAACAAAAAGGGAGUAAAAAUAAUUGGGCUGGGUCACUGAUUGGGGACUUGGGCUGGGGCAGUUUAAUUAUUUUUCUUCAAAUAGAAUGGGCUAGUUUUAAAAAAGGAGACAAAGGGCUGGUGAUAGCAUUUUGUGAAGUGGGCUCGGGUGAAGGGUUAUUGGGCCUAGAAUUGGCAGAUUUUGAUUAUUUUUGGAUUUGGCCAACUUAUUUAAUUUUUGGCCAAAUUGAAAAUCAAUUGGCCAAUUGCAUCGCAAUUGUGGCCAAUUUGAUUUCAAUUAUGGACAAAUCUAAUAAUAGAUUGGCUAAAUUAGAUCAAAAUUUGAAAUAAAUUAAUACUUUAUUUAACCUCGAGCUUCUUUAUUAGAUAAAAUCAAACACAGAUUUAUCCAAAUAAAUUAUUCUCAAGAAUAAAUUGUAUUUAAAUUAAUAUUUUAAUUAUUUAAAAUUAUAUUGAUAUAACCCUUGAUUAGAAUUCGAUAUUUCGUAAAAAGAGAUAUUUAAGUAAUUAUAUUAUAUAAUUUCGUAUAGUUAAAUAUGAUGAUAUAUAAUCUUUACUUAAAUUGGCAAAAUUACCCAUAUAAAAGCUUUUUAUUCAAAUAAAAAAUGUUGUAAUUUUAUUCAAAAUCAAAGAAACUCAGAGUUAAAUUCAGUUAUGGAGGGCAAAAUUAGGUGUCAACAACUGCCCCCUCCCUUUGGGUAGGGUGGAUACAAGUAACCUUGGGUAAAGAGAGGUUGACGAUCCUAAUUUUAUCCAACCAAAAAAUUUGAAUCUGAAAGAGGUUAGCUUUAGCAUGAGUUUCAUGGAUUUAUGGCCGGACCUCAGUAUCAGUUUUCCUACAUAUAUUAGGUUACAUGAGAAUUCAGAGCACUUGUAGUUCAUAAAGCUUGCUUGUAAGCACGAUUUUCAAUAAAAUUCACAAGUUAUCUCGAUUUUAGAGUUUUUGAUGAAACUGAAAAACUGGGGAAUAAAAGGAUUUGGGGGGAGGUUGGAAUGCAGUUGGAUUUUCUACAUAGAUCCCAGCCUAUAUAUUCCUAAGACUCAAGAAAUCAGACUGUUUGUAGUUUGACUCAAUCGGUAGAAAAGAUAGUCUUUUAUUUUAGAUAAUUUUUGGCUCGGGAGGAGUGACAAGUUGAUCGAGUUGUGAAAAAGAGGUUUGUAACCUCUUAACCAUGAAUGUUAAUCUCUUCACAUCCAUAGGUAAGAACUUACCCGGACAUAAUUUCCAAAACUCUAGGUGUGCUAUCACUCGAAUUUGAAAGAAAGACAAAUUUACCCUCAGUAUGAGUUUAGAAAAUCCUGAAGGUGAAGAUGAAACCAAAAUAUCCCAAAAUACCCAUAUACCUGCUAAUAAGGGUAUAGUUAGAUGGUGGUGGCGAUCAUCCUUUAGCUCGCGUCCAAAGAGUUUGACGUCCCUCUCUAGACUAUGUUAUUUGGUAGGUCUAACUUGAACCUUAGAACUUCAAGACUCAAAGUUUGUGUUCUUGGUGUUCUUGGUGUUCUUGGUGUUCUUGGUGUUCUUCACCAUCUCCAUAGUAGUGAAAAUGAUGGUAUAUCUUUCCUUGAAGGCUAUAUCCAUUAUGCUAACCCGUUCUAGUGUGACAACAUUCCUCCUAAAGAUGAAAAUCUCUUCUUGGAAGAUGAUAGUACUCUUAUGGGAAAGGAAUGUGUACUCUCGGAAAUGAGUACUCUUGGUAGUACUCUUGGUGUUCAUGAUGAUCAAUUUACUCUUAAAUGUAGUUCACUACUUGGGCAUGUGAAUAGAGUGCUUAAAAAUUCGCAAGUUAGUGAUAGUGUCUAUAGAAUUGAUCUUGAUAAUUUGCAUGACUCUUUGAACAUCUUGUGUGGUAAAAGUAUUGCGAUUAGUUUUGUUCAUAGAGAUCAUGUGUAUGAAAAUGUUUUUGUGUGUGAAUGUAGGAGUGAUAUUCUAGGGUAAGGAAGGGCUAGCCUCGGCUUAGGCCCUUGGCUAAUUCUUUCAUUUGAUCCCGGUACCAUCUUAGGGUGGGAAAGAAUAACUCUCCGCCUAUUUUCAUUCUGUUUUGGUAUUUAUCCGAGCCACUUCCUUUGUCACAUUUGUACUAAUAUUUUCAUGUUUAAUACAAAGAACCCGUGGAUAUACUUCAAAUUUAUUCCCCCUCGGCAUGGCAUAUUAAUGUGUUUAUUUUUUGCUAACCCUAACCCUCGUGUCAUGAGGAUGUGUGCUUAUUUGUCUUCUCUUGAUUUUGCAAGGUACGGAUUUGAGGUCGAAUCCUUUUCAAGAAGGGGCGGGUGAUACGAGUACGAUCGCGUAGAUGGACUUAUGAGGGCGUAUGUUAGACUCGAGACUUGGUGUGUGCAAAUGAAGUGCAAAGGAGCACCUAAAUGGACACCAAAACCGUCCAUACAUAGCACUCCAAUGGCGCCUAUUGAAGCAUUUGACUAAGGGGUCAUUUUGGACAUUUCACACUUUAUUUUGUAACCUACUAUAAAUAUAAUAAUGUAGGAUUUUAGUCAUUAGUUUUUGUUGAAUAUUGAAGUUGUAACACUUGAAACUCUCUCUCUUGUGAGAAAGGCCCCCAUGGCUGAAACUUGUAACUAGGAAAAUCAACAUUGAGUGUGGAUUCACUCGUGAUAGACUCAAGCUUGGAAACGUUGGAUGCUUGGGAGAUCGAGGUCACUCUUGUGCCAACGUAAGAGUUAGGUAUUUAUUGUGUGUGAUGUUAAAGGUCCAAGAGUGGAAUAGGCUUUUGGGUUUUUAAGAUUAUACUUUCAAUUUGUUUAGCUAUUUAUCCUUUUACCUUUUCGUAAUCUUGUUUAGUGUUUGUGUUGUAAUCUUGUGUUCUUGUUGUUAUUGUUAAAUCCGAUCUUGUGUCUUCUUGUUCAUAAUCUUAUGUUGUUAAUCUAGUUUGUUGUACGUUGAUUUGGUGUAAUAAAAACCUUGUUAUCUUCUUGUUAUGGUGUUCUUGGGAAGCCGAGACUUGUCUCCAAAAGGGUUCACGAAUUUCUUCCAUUUUAUGGACUAUUUUUGGACUGAUUUUGUGUUUCCGUUGUCAUUCCUAUAUCACAAUGAUAUUAAAUGACCCUCUUGGAAAUGGCAUGAAAUGGCCCUCUUGGCAAUGAUAUGAAAUGGCCCUCUUGGCAAAGAUAUGAAAUAACCCUCUUGGUAAUGGCAUGAAAUGGCCCUCUUGGCAAUGAUAUGAAAUGGCAAUCUUGGCAAUGAUAUAAAAUGGCUCUUUUGGCAGUGGCAUAAAAUGGACCUCUUGGCAAUGAUAUGCAAUGAUUCUUCCGGUGAUUUGAAAACAAUUUCACCUGAAUUCGUUUGUCUGCGUCUUACUUUAUACAUGUACCUGUACUCAAGGUAGACAAUUAGUAGACACAGUGUCUCUCUUAAUGGCGACCAUAAUUAAGCUUUAUGAUAGUUUAAUGACAAAUACUGAGCAUCAUAAUUUAAAUGACUUAUUCCUCCAUCAAUCUUCUCUUUUUGAAGAAAUGACUAAAUAAAAAAUCCACCGGAUGCAAGUAAAGGAAGCAAAGUCCUUUUGAUUAUUGUAGUUAUUUUGCCAACUCCCUUGAAUGUACCUGCGCUCAAGGUAAAUAUUUAGUAGACGUAAAGUCGCUUUUACUAAUGAUUAUUUUUUAGAAAAAUUCUAAAUACAUUAUUCAUAAAAAAGAUAAGACGCCUUUGUUUGUCCUUCAUGAUAUCAAGAAAUGAGAUAGAUAAUUCAAAAGGUCCUCAAUAAAUGGGUAUUAAAUCCAUUUUUGGGGCUACUCAAAAAUACCGUUCUUAAGCAUUAUAUGCUCUAGUAUGGCUCCCAACUUGCUUGGGGAUUUUUUUGGAAGAGGGCUCUCAUUUUUUUGUAUUGAUCCCUGCAUCCGAUCCUUGAUUUACUCCUCGCCAUCUUUCGGGUACUCCGUCAUGUUGGGACUUUCACCCGGACUCCCCGUCCCAAUAGAUGCCUAGGUAAUCACUAAGUAAAAAGAUUUGCAUAGAUUUUUGAAAGUAGUCUUAGUUUUAAAAACUAGUUUCAAAACUUCUGUAAAAGAUCUACAAAAUUUGUACCAAUCAUGUCAUGUACUAGCUCAAUGAACGUAUUCCUCUUAUUUUUGACUAUAUCUGACGGAGGAGUUCCAAAACUCAUCAUCAUUGUUGGAGGGUUCUUCAAAUAGUUCUAUCAUAGCCAGAAAUUAAGUCUACCUAGACUUUGUCGCAGCUGGUGGUUUCAAAAGCUUGACUUUGACCUCUGGUGCUGGGGAAUUUGAAAUAUAUUCCAGUGUUUAGUAUAAAUUUUGAGGCCUUUCUCAAAAUUUCUACCCCAUUUUAAUGUUGUUCAAGAUGAUCUCUGCUCGAGAGAAUCCGAAGUCUUUGUUGGUCUUCGUUCUCUUUGUCGGAUCAUAUGAUCUUCCUCUUAUGAAUUUUCAAGAUUCCUUCUCGAAAAUUCUGCCCCAGAUUCCAUUUCCUAGGUUAAUAUAAUUGAUCCAUUGAGGCUCCUAUGUAUCCCGUUGAAGUAGGAAUCAGGUCAAACGUAGUGUAGGACUACGCUAAGGAUAUAUAGAAAAACCUAAUGGGUUGACCGAAGCCAACAUAGGCCGCCUACAUAUUCCUUUUUGGGAAUUCAGGUCAUCAAGUAGUUCAUACAUGAAAGGAAAGAAUAAAUUUUUCUAAGGGAUUGACCGAAGCCAUCAUAGGCCACCUACGUAUCCCUUUCUUGGGUAUUUAGGUCAAACGUAGUUCGUACAUGAAAGAAAAGGAUAAAUUUUCCUAAGAGGUUGACCGAAGCUGACAUAGGCCGCCUACGUAUCCCUUUCUUGGGAAUUCAAGUCAAACGUAGUUCGUACAUGAAAGAAAAGGAUAAAUUUUCCUAAAGGGUUGACCAAAGCCGACAUAGGCCGCCUAUGUAUCCCUUUCUUGGGAAUUCAGGUUAACCGUAGUUCGUAAAUGAAAGAAAAGGGAUUCUAGGCAAUUACAUAUCAUAAAACAAAUACUAUCAUAAAGGCGAUUACAAAUAAGCCAAGGAAACAAAAGCUAAAACAUCUUUCAAACACAGUAUCUUUUUAUCGUAUUAGAAUUGAUUGGUUUGGUCCACUCUUGACCAUCCAUCUCAGGUAGGAUUAGGGCUCCUCCAAGUUGGCCUUCUUUCGAUUUUCAAAUUCCUCUAUAUCUACUACUAACUGCUCCUCGUCACCUUUUUUUCAUUCAUCAUCAUUCCCUUCGCUUUGUUCGUCUAACCCUUUACAAGACAUUAGCGGGUUUUAAAUUAUUGCUACCUAUUGAUCGGGGAGUGAUAAGUGAAUUGGAAGUCCCAUUCAGCAAUGUUUCCUCCAAUUCAUCUUCCUUGAUUCCGAUUGUCUUAGAAAAUUCUUCCAUCAUAUUUUAUUUAUUUCAUCCUCGAGACCAUUGCUUAUGGGUUUGAAAAAUGAUCGGUAGAGUCCAAUUUAACAACUAGUCAUUUUUCUUUUCCUGUAAAAAUAUUAUAGUCAAGAAGGGGAUCUCUUAUUUAUUUUGAUCUGGUGAAGUAGGGCCAUUUUGUGUCAACACGGAGUAGUUUCUAUUACUUUCAAAGUAAAAACAACUCAAAGGCUGACGUAUUAGAUUCUGUUAGUAAUAAGCAAAGCAAGAUGAUAAGGUAGGAAGUAAACAUAUAGAGUUGUUUCUUAUCUCAUGCAAAUUGAUCCAUGAAGUAAUGAUGACUCAAGAAUUUCAAUGAAUAGGAUUUUUGUCAAUGAUAUGGAUAGGCGGAAUUCAUCAGGAAGGCUCAACUCUUAUUCACUCCGAUCUUAUCUCUUCUUUCAAGAAAGCGGAGGACAACAGAGUUUUCGAAGAUAGAAGCCGGGUCGAAAGGCUGCCUACGUUUCUCACAGAGGAGAAAUCAGGCCCUACAUAGUUCAAAACUAUAAAGGCUUCUUUUGUGUCAAUAGUCAGUCUUCCUGAAAUAAUAGUGAGCUUUUAGGAAGUUUUAAGAAUGAUUGCGGACUUUCUGGGAGACUUGGGGUAUAUUUGGUCGGAUUUUUGUAUUGUGGGGUAUAUUUCUGCCUGGAAAAUGGGAUUUGAUCAUUUUGCCUUUGAUUCGAAUCAACGUAGCAUGUAUAAGCACAUAUAAACAGUUAUAUCAUACAAGCAUGUUGUAAUAAACAUGCAUCCUAAUUUGGUGACCCUUUUGAGUCAAGGGUUGUCCUAACAUAUUUGAAGGACGUAUAUGCUUUUUAAAACCAAUCCAUUAUCCUCCCCAAGACCUUCAUAGGUGUACAUAGAUGGCAUAAAUGCCUACAAAAGUUGUACAAAUGGGAUACAAUCUUUAGGGAAAGGAAAAAUAACAUGAGAAAAAGAACAAUAUCCCACGCAGAGGAUAGGAAAUACUAGUUCCUGAAUACUCUUAUAUCAGCCUUCUUAGCUUUGUCCACUUUGGUAACAUCCAUUGAUUAUCAAGAUAUUGCCGUAUAACUGUGAUCUAUAUGCAACCGACCAAAUCGAUCAAUUUCUUGCUAUGCUUGCUUCAAUUCCUUCCUCAAUUGGUGUAUGAUUGAGGCAUCAUUACACGAAAGUAAGCAAGCUUUUUCCCAACCCCUAAAGGAUAAUGGAUUUGAUUAAUUAAACAUAUAUUUCUUCAACACAUAAAUAUGAUUCGUCUAUAAUUGAAUCGGGAUCAAUAGACGCAGGAAAAGUUUUCUAAUGAGCCCAAUACCCCCUCGGGUAUUGGGUCGUCCUAGGUUCAUGCCUAAAAUAGGGUUUUGGUUUAGCUCUAUCCUAGCUGUCUAGAGUGGGUUUGAACCAGGUUCCCAAGUAGACAACUUGGGUUUAAAAAUACGAACAGCCAUCAGACGACUCACAUGCUAAUAAACCAUCGUGUUUCCAACACAUUAUUUGGAAUUGAACAAUAGAGGCCGGGAUAUCCACGAAAUGCCAAAACAGUUUAUAAGUAAAUGUAAGAAUAUGCUAUGAGAUGCAAUAAUUAAAUACCGCAAAAUCAAAACAUAUAAACACGUAACCAGUAAAUCAAAAGACGAAAUCAAACAUUUGGUUAGAACCUAAUUAAAUCCCCAGAAGAGUCGUCAUUUCCGUUUUGCGAAAAUUUUGACUUUCAGAGAGUCGCCACUUAAUUUUGAAAAGAAAUUAAGAAAGCUUUAUAAAAUAUUUUAAACUAUCCAAAACUGAAAGAUCAAUUAAGUUUUGAAGAUUCUGAGUAAGUGGCUCCUAUUAACGUUUUAGGAAGGUUUUAAGCACCUAAAACGUCCGCUAACUUGCGGUUAUUCAGACUGUUUGAAAACAUCUUUUGAUUAACUUCUAAAAUGAUUAAUUUGUUGAAAAGUGAUUGAUUUUUUUUUAGAAAAGACUUGUGUAAAAUGGAUUUAGGCGACUUAGUAGGGAUUUUAACUAAGUCUAAACAAAACUAAUAAGCAAGUAAACACAUAAAGGGGGGAAAGAGGCAAAAGUAAAGGAUUUAGGCCAUUGGGCCCAAAUCAAUGAGACCUGUCCUAAUCUAAUUGGGCUUCCAACCCAUUUCACCUAUCCUAAUCUAAUUUUGAAGCCUUUUGGCCCAAAAUUCGCCUCACCUGUAUUAAAUUUAUAACAUUGGCUUCGAGGCCCAAAUGAAUGAAUGAAUAAAUAAAUAAACAAAAUAAAUAAAGACAACAAUACUCAAAUAAAUAAAACAACAAAUGAGACUUUUGAGUCUCUUAGCCGAUUCAAAUGUGAGUCUUUAACCCGCCUUUCUUCUUCCAACUCUUCGUGUUUAUACGCCAUGGGAUCACUUUUAGACAUAGAACUUCGGGCUUGACUCAAUGAGAGCCCAUUAAGGAAUGCAAGGGAAAAGGGUUCAUUUGGACUCCAGGGCGGAUUCAUGCGAAGGAAUGAAAAAUAUAUGAAUUAAUAUAUGUUCAUGGAAACAAACUAUUCUGGCAACAAAGGAAAUUACGAAAGUUCAAAGCUUUAAAAAUUCACAACCCCAAACCCAAGCACAAAAAUAAAACUUAGGUGCAUGCUCACUGAACAAAUAAUUGUAUCUACUAAUUUUGAAUUUUUAACAUAAAGAUCGAAGAGAGCACGACAUAUUACACCCUAGUAACUUCACAUGGAAGCAUGAAUAUGCAUGAAAGGAUUCCAGUAAAAAAGGGGGCACUCUUCCUAACCUAAUGUGAUAAUUAUUUAAAUGAGAGUAGGAUAUGAUGUUGGUUUUAAUUGCUAUAAUAUUAGAAAUGCUGCAACAUUUAUUAAAGGAUCGUACACUAAUAGUAAAUCCCAAUCAAUUCCCUUUGUGACAAAUCGACACCUUCACAUACUUAUCAAUGAAAAGAAACACACAGAAGCGAAAGAAAUUUCAUCAACUACCUAUCAAAAUACUCAACCGUAAUACAAAACUAAAGAGCUGAAGAUAACUUCUAAAAAUAGAUAAAUAAAUUUACACUACAUAUGAACUAAGACAAGUUUGUUUCAACUCUUUUCUCUUAUGUUGCACAAUAUACAAGACAAUCCAAUCAAUGAAAGCAAAGAAGUUCUCACUUAAACCAAGAAACUAUCAAUUUUCCAACACUAAAAUCAAAAUGCAGUCGUGCACUUCAAAGAAACCGAUCCAUACCAAGACUAUAUGAAAUUCUCAUGUUACUAGAAACGAAAGAAAACGGUUUGCAAGUUGUUUCGAGAACUGCAUGCCUAAACAUAACAACCCGUCCUAGUCAAGAGACUGAAUGAACACAAAAGAAGCGAAACUGACGUAUAAACACAAACUCCAUCCGACAGUAGAUAUCCAAAGAAACAAAAAACUAUGACGCUCCAUCCCCAUAACGAAAACAAAAUUGAACUAUUCUCUUUAAAGGGACAUACUCAAAAUCACAACUAUUGCAUCCAUCACCCUAAACCAAUCACAUACUGGCAACAAGCUCAAGAGACAAGAGGGGAAAAGGAAAUCCAAAUUUACACGAGAAAAGACACAGUAAAUAGAGCUAAAGGGGAAGUGGUGGGGCACUAAUAUCAACCUCAUCCUCUUUCUGACAAACUCAAAAUGAGUUUUAAUAGUCAAAACGAUCAUCAAGGAAUCAUGGGAUUUGCUAUUUUUUAUUAGACGUAUCUUCGUUAUUCUUUGUCAUUUGAGAAGCCAAAGAAUUCAAGAGGAGGUCCUAUUAAUGGCGCUACCAGCUCAACCACAUCAAACUAAUGACGACAAACAAGACAAUGUCAAAUACUAACCAUGAACAUGACACCAUCAACCCAAACCUAUUAAACAAAAUCACAGCAUGAAGCUUUAAAUGACAAAACCAGUUUUAACAAGACACCAGUAGCCCAAAACUAUUAAUCAAAAUCAAAGCAUACAACUUUAACGACGAAACCAGCCUUAAAAAGAUACCAGCAACUCGAAAUAAAAUUAAAAGCAUGAAACUUUAGCUACCAAACCAGCCUUAACAAGAUAGCAGCAACUCGAAAUAGAAUUAAAAGCAUGAAACUUUAGCUACCAAAACCAGCCUUCAAAUCACAAGUAGUAC
rnacentral:lncRNA from 1 species